AUCCUUUUGUAGUUUAUAAGUAUGAUGAUGGGUGUUCAUGCUCCUGUGAGAUGUCUCCCCCUCUAAACCUUGUAACAACAUAGCACAUUACCCUUCUGAUG